rnacentral:rRNA from 1 species
UACGUAGGGUGCGAGCGUUUGUCCGGAAUUAUUGGGCGUAAAGAGCUCGUAGGCGGUGUGUCGCGUCGGCCGUGAAAACCUGGGGCUCAACUCUGGGCGUGCGGUCGAUACGGGCAUCACUAGAGUUCGGCAGGGGAGACUGGAAUUCCUGGUGUAGCGGUGAAAUGCGCAGAUAUCAGGAGGAACACCGGUGGCGAAGGCGGGUCUCUGGGCCGAUACUGACGUGAGGAGCGAAAGCAUGGGGUAGCGAACAGGG